rnacentral:rRNA from 1 species
UACGUAGGGUGCGAGCGUUGUUCGGAAUCACUGGGCGUAAAGGGCGCGUAGGCGGGUUUGCAAGUCGAUUGUGAAAUCCCAAGGCUUAACCUUGGAGCUGCAGUCGAAACUGCAAGUCUUGAAUAUCUGAGAGGGUGGGAGAAUUCCUGGUGUAGUAGUGAAAUACGUAGAUAUCAGGAGGAAUACCGGCGGCGAAGGCGCCUACCUGGCAGUAUAUUGACGCUGAGGCGCGAAAGCGUGGGGAGCAAACAGG